CACCCAUGUUCAAGGCCUGUGUAAAAACAAAUCCAUACCCAUGGGUGCCAGCCUUACAACUUUUGAAAACAACACCGGCGCGGAGAUUCAACUGCGGUUCUUUCGACCCCCGGCCCGACCAGACCACUUUCGUAGGACCGUUACAAUCAGAGCGGGUGCGAGAGCCAAUAUAUCACACUCAGAGUUACGUUACAACGACACCAACCCGGAAAGCCACGAGGUGAUAAUGAUAUUUGUCGAUGGCGUUGGCAGCGGCGUGGGAUUGGUUCCACGCCAAGUCAUUAACUUCUCGAAAGUCGUUUGUGGCAUAAAUGAAGCUGGAGGAUUGGUCAUUCGAGGCGUCCCAAAAUGGGGAUGUGGAUGCUUUGCAGGAGGGGGUUUAGAGGACCUUGCAUAAGAUCGAGCCUUGGUGCUCUCGUCUGCUUCUCGUAGGCCUCCUUUACCCCCAGUUCCUGUGUUUUGUCAACUAUAUUUCUCUUGUCAGUUCUAUCUGUGUCACUAAAAUAAGUGUUGACUAUCCAGUGUUGUGUGGUGUUUGCUUGAAUAUUG